rnacentral:lncRNA from 1 species
UAAGUACAUGAUACAUGUAUUUGAAAUGUCUUGAAACAUGUAAUGGUUAGGUUAAUGUACAUGAAUGUGGUCAUGUAGUAAUUAUUAAUGUGGUUCUAGAAGUAUCAUAUGAGUCCUAUAAAUAGUCAUGUACUUGGAUCAUUUUAAUCAAGUGAAAUGAAAGUGUACUUAUGUUUUCCAAAGUUAUAUUUCACUUCUUCUAUAAUUUAUCAUCUUUCAUAAAUUUCCAAUAAAGUGGUAUCAGAGCUAAGGUUAAUUCGAAGGUUAAACUAAAGUGGCUAAGGUAAAAUCGACGACUUAAGAAAGGUGACUUAGUGCUAUCGAAGUGUUUCGCUGGGCGAGUGAAAAGUGUGCGCGUUAUAGCUCUGAAUUACAAUCUAGCAAAUGUGCUAGUUGAGAAAUUUUUUGAAGAAGUUUAUGAGUUGAAGCACGUCACAAAGGUUGUCAUAUUGAUAGCAUUUUUGGUGAGGUAAAUUAUAAAAAAAAUGAUGUUUCCUAGGUUUGGUGCCAAAUUAGUUUUCACAAAUUACAAUGUUUGGAGUAUAAGGAUUCGAGUAUUUCUUGGAGAAUGCAAUUUAUGGCAAGAUGUCAUUUCAAAUCCAGAAAAG